GACGAACGCUGGCGGCGUGCUUAACACAUGCAAGUCGAGCGGUAAGGCCCUUUCGGGGGUACACGAGCGGCGAACGGGUGAGUAACACGUGGGUGACCUGCCCUCAGCUCUGGGAUAAGCCUUGGAAACCGGGUCUAAUACUGGAUAUGACUCCAUGACGCAUGUUGUGGGGUGGAAAGCCUUGUGCGGCUGAGGAUGGGCCCGCGGCCUAUCAGCUUGUUGGUGGGGUGANGGCCUACCAAGGCGACGACGGGUAGCCGGCCUGAGAGGGCGACCGGCCACACUGGGACUGAGACACGGCCCAGACUCCUACGGGAGGCAGCAGUGGGGAAUCUUGCGCAAUGGGCGAAAGCCUGACGCAGCGACGCCGCGUGAGGGAUGACGGCCUCGG
rnacentral:rRNA from 1 species